CUGCCCCCACCAAGUGCUCGCUGAGGGCCUGGUCUUGCCCCCAGCUGGGCAGGGGGCUGGGUGGCUGGGAGCAUUUGGGUUUUGCCUUGUUCUCCUCCAUCUCUGAGAUCCUGAAGCGCGAAUGGAUCUCGGGAGCUGCUUCCUUCUGCAAGAGUGGCUCUCACGGGACUGGGCACCUCAGGGUUCUGCGCCGCUUACACACCCUGAGUCGUGGUGGGGCUCUCUGAUGUCACAGGGGUCUCUUAGCACCGCUGAGUCACAACGGGCCACACCCAGUACCCCUGCAGGUAGCAGCUGAGCCCACUGGAAUCUUCAUGGCUGGUGCUUCCCGGGAGGCUCCCGAAGCUCAACAGUGUGGAAGAGUGGCUAGCUAACAAAGGUCGUGUUCCCAUGCAGCAAUUAGCUGAGAAAGAAUUAAACAACAGUAGAGUGUAGUUGGUAUGAGAUGUUGCAAUGUCAGAAAGACCUUAGUGAUAACUGUGAACUGAGAACAGGACACUGUGAUCAGAAGAAUGUGGAUUCAGCACAGAUGAACGACCACAAGAAGGUGGAACUAGGGAGUUUGGAGUUGCCAAUAAAUGAGACUUGCUGGUCAUUCAUAUUGAGUGCUGCUUGUCUCCCGCCGAACUCAUCAAAUGGCGCCCGAACAAAUGGGACCCUUGGGACCUUUGGGACCUUUGGGACAUUAAAAAGCGAAGGCCACGGGAGUCGGCGACAGGGGACGGGUCCUCCGCAGCAAGGACGGCGAAAAGCAACGGUGCCGCACCCCAGGCGACCUCAGAGGAGAGUCCUGGCCGUAACGUGCUGCUGAACCUUGUAGGGCUGCAACAGCGCUGACGGUAAGAUGGAAAGGCAAGCAGCACAUGAUUUAUUUACCUGCUUUUUAGAAAAGCCACAGCUUAAGGGUUUUGAUUUGCGCAAGGAGCUUCCUGGACUUCUUGCUUACGGGUAUGCUUACACCUUUACCUCCCACUGCUGGGCAAACACUCCUAUCUAUGCUGCCCAUGGAAAGAGGGAGGGAGAGU